rnacentral:lncRNA from 1 species
AACCCUAAUUAUCUUACUUUUUAUCUAUAUUAUUUAAGAUUACUCAAAAAAAAAGAAUUAAACUGGUCCUAACUCAAGCAGUUGUCAAUUUUUGUCGUAAAUUGGGCAGUUCUCAAUUUUGCUACCCAAACUAAAAAAAAAAUUGAAAUAAUUGAAUUAAAACUGAACCAGUUUUGUAAAUCAUCAAACGUUUCUUAAAUAUUGAGAAGCAAAAAAACCAAAAUAUUCGAAGUUUAACGCCAAACCUAACUCAAGCAGUUGUCGGCUUGUACCAUUCCCAUCUUCCUUCUCACUUUCCUCGUUUUUCACGCCUCACAGAUCAUCUUUUCCAUCUCAG